UACGGGGGGGGCAAGCGUUGUUCGGAAUUACUGGGCGUAAAGGGCUCGUAGGCGGCCAACUAAGUCAGACGUGAAAUCCCUCGGCUUAACCGGGGAACUGCGUCUGAUACUGGAUGGCUUGAAUCCGGGAGAGGGAUGCGGAAUUCCAGGUGUAGCGGUGAAAUGCGUAGAUAUCAAGAGGAACACCAGUGGCGAAGGCGAGUCCCUGGACAACACCUGACACUGAGGCACGAAAGCCGGGGGAGCAAACAGG
rnacentral:rRNA from 1 species